rnacentral:rRNA from 1 species
GACGAACGCUGGCGGCGUGCCUAACACAUGCAAGUCAACUUGACUGAAGGAGCAAUCUGACAGUAGAGUGGCGCAAGGGUGCGUAACGCGUAAGUAACUUGCCCAAGGUAGAAUAACGUCGGAGAAAGUCGGCGCUAAUACCUCAUAAUGCAGCGGAUCCGCAUGGAUAUGUUGUUAAAGGUUUACCGCCUUGGGAUAGGCUUGCGUCUGAUUAGUUAGUUGGUGUGGUAACGGCACACCAAGGCUACGAUCAGUAACUGGUCUGAGAGGAUGAUCAGCCACACUGGAACUGAGACACGGUCCAGACUCCUACGGAGGCAGCAGUGAGGAAUAUUGGGCAAUGCUCGAAAGAGUGACCCAGCAACGCCGCGUGGAGGAUGAAGGUAUUCUAUAUCGUAAACUCCUGUGAGAGCAGACGAAAGACAGAUUAUUAAUCUGGAUGACUGUAUGCUCAGAGAAG